UGUCAUAAAUUUCAAAUGAUCUGUAUCUGCAUUUUGAUGAGAAAAUAUUUAAUAAAUUUUGAAAUUUAAAGCAAUUACUUGUUUAUGGCAUAUCUUGUAAGCAUUGUGUUUUGUAAACGGCAUAAAUGGAAAACAACGUAAGCCAGAUAUCUUAAUUAUGACGCAUUAUGUAAACGGCAUAAACUGAAAACGACGCAAGCUUACUGACAAACUAAAGUGAUGGUGUUUCGACGGAGAGGGGACUGAAACAUAGCGAACAAUGGACUUAUGAUGGAAAACGUCUGGAGAUAGUGAAUAACUUUAAUUACUUAGGCACGUACAGGCAAAAGAAGAAGUGUCUGCCAAAGAAAGUCGCUUACUGAAGUUGUUAAAGGAUGAGUUAGAACAGAUCAAGAGGGAUUCUGACCCAUGUGAAUCGGAUACGUGUGAUGAUGAUUGUAGGUUUGACUGCUGUUUGGAUUAUUGCAAUGAUAUGGACUGUUUUUAUGCAUGCCACAGUAAUGGAGAUGAGGUAUAUUAACAAUUUAAGAUUUAACAAUAGUGUGUAAAAAGCUGUUCACAAUGACAUUUUCUGAUAUAUAUUUGCAUAUGUAUGGUUUCAAACAAGCAUGAGAUAAUGAGUUGUGCUAGAAGAUCUGACUCUAAAAACGCCAUUGUCAUUUCAUGUUUGGAACAGUUCAAAUUUUUUUGACGAGGCGUGUCCCAAAAUAAGUGACACCAAUGAUUGCUUACUUUGUAUAUGAUAUUUGCUAUCAUAUGUCUUUCUUUCGAGACAAAUUAUUAGUUCUCUGCAUAUAGGCAUGACUAAAAUGCUCGUUGUUUCGAUAAAGGUACGGCCAGUGCUAACACAUUUCGUAUUCUCUAACUCAAUGACACAACAUUAUUCAAGCUUUACCUUACUUAGUGUAAUCCUGCUAGAACAUCGGAGAAACUUUAUCUUGUGCAACUGCUGCGUGUAUUUUCUGUAUACAAAAAUUAUAGAUCUAAUCUGAAUGAAUAUUUUUUUCUUUCUUUCAGAGGUCAGGUGUAUUAAAGUAAAUUUGCUUAUUUACUUAUGUUAUUAAACAGUAAUUGGACAUAACAAUUACAUUGUUGAAUAAGCAAAUACCUAAUAAUAACAAAUGACCAAUGUAUGUUGAAAACCAAUGUUAUUGCACGAACCAACUGUAACAUCUUUUAGUUUCGCCAAAAAGCACAUCGAGAUUUUAGCUUUUAUCAAUCAGUUUUAUAAAUAUUUGGAGAUUUUCGAAACUUACCUGACACUGCAAUUUAUAUAAGUGAUCUAGCUGUUGAAAUUUGUAAUACGUACCAAAUAAGAUGACAAUUAAUGUAAGCUAUACGCCUUGUUUAUAUCUUACGAAUGAUAAUUUUGUAACGUGUACAAAAUUAUUGCCGUAAAAUCUGAUUUAUUUAUAAGUUAACCACUUUAUCUACUUGUAAAACAGGACGGUUAAAUAUUAGGUAAUAGUUUCUGAACAGCAAAGUCUUCUUUUUAACAUUAAUCAUUAUUGAUUUUUAUCACAUGUACCAGUAACCAUGCUGUCAGAAGGAAAUGAUUUUCAGAAACGAGACCAAAUACCGGUGGUGGAUAAUGUGCAGAGCUUGAGAAGGGGAUUGAAAACAUUUGCCUGAUUGUUUGUAAACCAUAUUGUUUUCCUUGUUAAAACACUCAUACGACACUUAACACUGCGUCUAUCUAUCCUGACUAAAGUUCAGAUCUACUUAUUUCGUUUAUGUAGAUCUGAUAACGACCGUAUAUGUUUCGCCUUCUUUAUAAUUCUGAUUUCACUAGAAUGCUUUAUUUUGCUAUGCAAUCAAACCGGUUUUUACUUACAUAGGCAUUAGAAGUAUCAAAAUACCGUUAUCUGUGGAAGUUAAACAAAUGAAAAGUAAAAAUUACCCACUCAGUAUUGGUUUUCCUAGGGUUAAAAUAAGAAACCACAUCGCUUUCAAAAUUAUGAAAGCUCGCGUGAAAGGCCAUCAGAAAUGAUUUCGUAUUUGGUCACGGUUAGAUCUAAAUGCGGGGCAUUAUUUAGAUCUGAUUUUAACUAGAUUGUAAAACAAAGUAUUGUUCAGUUACUCUAUUUGUACCAUUUCUACUAGCAGUUGUACCUUAGUUGUAGGCCCAUUACUAAUUUAAUGCCAGUUUGUAGACAUACAUGUAUAUCAUUUUGUUCAGAUUUGUUAUAUAUAUUAUUAUCAAUUUAUUUUGCAAUAUUUAAUUUAGUUAUUUAGAAUUUCCUUACGUGUUUUUUACAUAUUAGAUAAACUAAUUAUUUAUGGAAUAUUAUUAUUACUAUUAUGGUAAAAUAUUUCGAUAAAAAUUUAUUUCGUAAAAUUGUAUUUGUAAUUUUAAGCUUAAGAAUAUAAGUUUUGGAAAAAAAAAUCUUCUUCAUUAAAUAACCUUUGAAGCAGUAUCUAUUAUAUGAUAAAAAAAUCGAUACAGUAUAUUUGUCUGACUAUCUACUUUAGUUCUUCUGCUCUUGUGACAUUUUUAUUUUUAUGAUUAUUUAGAUAAACUAAAAUAUAAUAAAUGUUUUUUAAAACUGUCUUGCAAUUGUUUUUUUUUUAAUUUUCUUUUGAAAUCACGGUGUCAAAGCAUACACCGGAAGUUGGCAAUUCUUCAGUUGUAUAAUGUACGUUUGUCGUUUGUCCACUUGGCCUUUCUUUUUCCUGAUGUAUCAAACGAUUUUUACGUCAUUGAAAAUGUAAUCUUGCCUUAUUUUUUUAUCUCAUUUGUUGUAUAUGGCAGUAAAUGUAAAAGAACAGUU